GUUCAACGACGUCGCAUUGAACUGAGGAAUCGACAGAAGAAGCAUCACAUGCAAGUUAAAUACGACGGUGGAAGCAUCCGACGGUCAGGGGCGGGCCGGUGGGAGGAGACAAGAGAGUCCGCAGCUGCCUCUUUGACAUGUGAAGGAGGAACGACGCAAGCUCUCCGCUCAUGUCUACGGUGUUUGCUUUUUCUGCUAUGACCAACUGAAAAGAACUGGAUUCAACGGCCCUUGCAAACUUCUACCUCAAAGGACUCGCUUGGCUGCGGUAGUUGUGACCCCAAGAUGCAGAAGACAGGAAGAUGACGUGCAGGCUUGGGCUGCGGAUGUUUGUGCUUCAUCGAUGCAAGGAUGAUGUGGGACGAGUCAGGCAUGAAUAAAUUGAUUCAUCGCAGUCAAGUCCAGAACCAAUUGACAGCGAUAAAUGAGUGUAAGCAUCCGACGGUCGGGGGCAGCCGGUGGGAGGAGGCAAGAGAAUCCGCAGCUGCAGGAGGAACGACACAAUCUCUCCGCUCAUGUCUGCGGUAAGAGCCGACUUAUUACCACC